rnacentral:rRNA from 1 species
UUAUCCGGAUUUAUUGGGUGUAAAGGGUGCGUAGGCGGAUUACUAAGUUAGAGGUGAAAGCUCGUGGCUCAACCUCUAAAUUGCCUCUAAUACUGUUAGACUAGAGAGUAGUAGCGGUAGGCGGAAUGUAUGGUGUAGCGGUGAAAUGCUUAGAGAUCAUACAGAACACCGAUUGCGAAGGCAGCUUACCAAACUAUAUCUGACGUUGAGGCACGAAAGCGUGGGGAGCAAACAGGAUUAGAUACCCUGGUAGUCCACGCAGUAAACGAUGAUAACUCGCUGUCGGCGAUACACAGUCGGUGGCUAAGCGAAAGCGAUAAGUUAUCCACCUGGGGAGUACGUUCGCAAGAAUGAAACUCAAAGGAAUUGACGGGGGCCCGCACAAGCGGUGGAUUAUGUGGUUUAAUUCGAAGCAACGCGAAGAACCUUACCAGGGUUUGACAUCCUGCUAACGAAGUAGAGAUACAUUAGGUGCCCUUCGGGGAGCAGAGACAGGUGGUGCAUGGUUGUCGUCAGCUCGUGUCGUGAGAUGUUGGGUUAAGUCCCGCAACGAGCGCAACCC